UACGGAAGGGGCAAGCGUUGUUCGGAAUCAUUGGGCGUAAAGAGCGCGUAGGCGGUCCGAUAAGUCGGCUGUGAAAGUCAGGGGCUCAACCCUUGGAAGCCGGCCGAUACUGUCGGACUAGAGUCCGGAAGAGGCGAGUGGAAUUCCCGGUGUAGCGGUGAAAUGCGUAGAGAGUGAGCGGACGGAAGCACCGGAUGGCCGGAAGGCAGCCCCCUGGGUUAACACUGACGCUACAGGCGACAGAA
rnacentral:rRNA from 1 species